UGGGGAAUUUUGGACAAUGGGCGAAAGCCUGAUCCAGCAAUGCCGCGUGUGUGAAGAAGGCCUUCGGGUUGUAAAGCACUUUUGUCCGGAAAGAGAUCCUUGGCUCUAAUACAGUCGGGGGAUGACGGUACCGGAAGAAUAAGCACCGGCUAACUACGUGCCAGCAGCCGCGGUAAUACGUAGGGUGCAAGCGUUAAUCGGAAUUACUGGGCGUAAAGCGUGCGCAGGCGGUUUGCUAAGACCGAUGUGAAAUCCCCGGGCUCAACCUGGGAACUGCAUUGGUGACUGGCAGGCUAGAGUAUGGCAGAGGGGGGUAGAAUUCCACGUGUAGCAGUGAAAUGCGUAGAGAUGUGGAGGAAUACCGAUGGCGAAGGCAGCCCCCUGGGCCAAUACUGACGCUCAUGCACGAAAGCGUGGGGAGCAAACAGGAUUAGAUACCCUGGUAGUCCACGCCCUAAACGAUGUCAACUAGUUGUUGGGGGAUUCAUUUCCUUAGUAACGUAGCUAACGCGUGAAGUUGACCGCCUGGGGAGUACGGUCGCAAGAUUAAAACUCAAAAUGAAUUGACGGGGUCAUAGCUGUUUCCUG
rnacentral:rRNA from 1 species